GGUUAAAAAGCUCGUAGUUGGAUUUCUGUCGAGGACGGCCGGUCCGCACUAUGUGCGUGCAUCUGGUUUGGCCUUGGCAUCCUCUUGGGGAACGUCGCUGCGCUUGAUUGCGUGGCGCGGUGCUCAAGACUUUUACUUUGAGGAAAUUAGAGUGUUCACGGCAGGCAAUCGCCCUGAAUAUAUUAGCAUGGAAUAAUAAUAUAGGAUUUCAGGCCUAUUUUGUUGGUUUCUAGGCUUGAGAUAAUGAUUAAUAGGGAUAAUUGGGGGUAUUCGUAUUAACGCGUCAGAGGUGGAAU
rnacentral:rRNA from 1 species